rnacentral:rRNA from 1 species
AGCGUAGGCGGAUUUUUAAGUGAGAUGUGGAAUACUCGGGCUUAACCUGAGUGCUGCAUUUCAAACUGGAAGUCUAGAGUGCAGGAGAGGAGAAGGGAAUUCCUAGUGUAGCGGUGAAAUGCGUAGAGAUUAGGAAGAACACCAGUGGCGAAGGCGCUUCUCUGGACUGUAACUGACGCUGAGGCACGAAAGCGUGGGAGGCAAACA